rnacentral:rRNA from 1 species
UUAAGUUAUUAAGGGCGCACGGUGGAUGCCUUGGCACUAGAAGCCGAUGAAGGACGUUACUAACGACGAUAUGCUUUGGGGAGCUGUAAGUAAGCUUUGAUCCAGAGAUUUCCGAAUGGGGAAACCCAGCAUGAGUUAUGUCAUGUUAUCGAUAUGUGAAUACAUAGCAUAUCAGAAGGCACACCCGGAGAACUGAAACAUCUUAGUACCCGGAGGAAGAGAAAGAAAAUUCGAUUCCCUUAGUAGCGGCGAGCGAAACGGGAAGAGCCCAAACCAACAAGCUUGCUUGUUGGGGUUGUAGGACACUCUAUACGGAGUUACAAAGGACGACAUUAGACGAAUCAUCUGGAAAGAUGAAUCAAAGAAGGUAAUAAUCCUGUAGUCGAAAAUGUUGUCUCUCUUGAGUGGAUCCUGAGUACGACGGAGCACGUGAAAUUCCGUCGGAAUCUGGGAGGACCAUCUCCUAAGGCUAAAUACUCUCUAGUGACCGAUAGUGAACCAGUACCGUGAGGGAAAGGUGAAAAGCACCCCGGAAGGGGAGUGAAAUAGAACCUGAAACCGUGUGCUUACAAGUAGUCAGAGCCCGUUAAUGGGUGAUGGCGUGCCUUUUGUAGAAUGAACCGGCGAGUUACGAUUUGAUGCAAGGUUAAGCAGUAAAUGUGGAGCCGUAGCGAAAGCGAGUCUGAAUAGGGCGUUUAGUAUUUGGUCGUAGACCCGAAACCAGGUGAUCUACCCUUGGUCAGGUUGAAGUUCAGGUAACACUGAAUGGAGGACCGAACCGACUUACGUUGAAAAGUGAGCGGAUGAACUGAGGGUAGCGGAGAAAUUCCAAUCGAACCUGGAGAUAGCUGGUUCUCUCCGAAAUAGCUUUAGGGCUAGCCUCAAGUGAUGAUUAUUGGAGGUAGAGCACUGUUUGGACGAGGGGCCCCUCUCGGGUUACCGAAUUCAGACAAACUCCGAAUGCCAAUUAAUUUAACUUGGGAGUCAGAACAUGGGUGAUAAGGUCCGUGUUCGAAAGGGAAACAGCCCAGACCACCAGCUAAGGUCCCAAAAUAUAUGUUAAGUGGAAAAGGAUGUGGCGUUGCCCAGACAACUAGGAUGUUGGCUUAGAAGCAGCCAUCAUUUAAAGAGUGCGUAAUAGCUCACUAGUCGAGUGACACUGCGCCGAAAAUGUACCGGGGCUAAACAUAUUACCGAAGCUGUGGAUUGUCCUUUGGACAAUGGUAGGAGAGCGUUCUAAGGGCGUUGAAGCAUGAUCGUAAGGACAUGUGGAGCGCUUAGAAGUGAGAAUGCCGGUGUGAGUAGCGAAAGACGGGUGAGAAUCCCGUCCACCGAUUGACUAAGGUUUCCAGAGGAAGGCUCGUCCGCUCUGGGUUAGUCGGGUCCUAAGCUGAGGCCGACAGGCGUAGGCGAUGGAUAACAGGUUGAUAUUCCUGUACCACCUAUAAUCGUUUUAAUCGAUGGGGGGACGCAGUAGGAUAGGCGAAGCGUGCGAUUGGAUUGCACGUCUAAGCAGUAAGGCUGAGUAUUAGGCAAAUCCGGUACUCGUUAAGGCUGAGCUGUGAUGGGGAGAAGACAUUGUGUCUUCGAGUCGUUGAUUUCACACUGCCGAGAAAAGCCUCUAGAUAGAAAAUAGGUGCCCGUACCGCAAACCGACACAGGUAGUCAAGAUGAGAAUUCUAAGGUGAGCGAGCGAACUCUCGUUAAGGAACUCGGCAAAAUGACCCCGUAACUUCGGGAGAAGGGGUGCUCUUUAGGGUUAACGCCCAGAAGAGCCGCAGUGAAUAGGCCCAAGCGACUGUUUAUCAAAAACACAGGUCUCUGCUAAACCGUAAGGUGAUGUAUAGGGGCUGACGCCUGCCCGGUGCUGGAAGGUUAAGAGGAGUGGUUAGCUUCUGCGAAGCUACGAAUCGAAGCCCCAGUAAACGGCGGCCGUAACUAUAACGGUCCUAAGGUAGCGAAAUUCCUUGUCGGGUAAGUUCCGACCCGCACGAAAGGCGUAACGAUUUGGGCACUGUCUCAACGAGAGACUCGGUGAAAUCAUAGUACCUGUGAAGAUGCAGGUUACCCGCGACAGGACGGAAAGACCCCGUGGAGCUUUACUGUAGCCUGAUAUUGAAAUUCGGCACAGCUUGUACAGGAUAGGUAGGAGCCUUUGAAACGUGAGCGCUAGCUUACGUGGAGGCGCUGGUGGGAUACUACCCUAGCUGUGUUGGCUUUCUAACCCGCACCACUUAUCGUGGUGGGAGACAGUGUCAGGCGGGCAGUUUGACUGGGGCGGUCGCCUCCUAAAAGGU